rnacentral:rRNA from 1 species
AGCAGUGCGAGAAGGGCGAAUCAUUGACGCUUAUCAAAGUGUCCUGAAGGCACUGGAUCAUUGGGCGUCUAUUGAACUCAUUGAACGUGGGAUUUAUCCAAAGGUUCACUUAUGGGUUCAGGUGCAGCCGCUGGAUCGAACAAUUGAGAAGCUGUAUAACGAGCUCACAUUAAGUACGGAGACUCUGGAGCAACGGGUUGAACUGGUACUGCUUGCUUGUGAAUUUUCAGUCAUGUCAAAAAUGGAGGACUGCUCCUCUCCGCUAUUCCGUAUAUUAGGCAGCAGACGGGAACCUUGGUCUAUAGAUGAACUUAUGAAUCAUCCUGAGUUAAAAAAUCUACAAUUAGAUCUUACCGUCGUGCUCCGUAAACUGGUUUAUCGUUCACUUAUUAGAGAAUCAGCCAUCGGUGAAUUUAGGGAUCGCGGACAAAAUCGUGAACUGCGCUACUCCCUUCUUUGAUGAGCGGAGGUUAAUUAAUCAGGAAGAAAGGUCGAUAAACGAUCUAUUCUUCCUUUUUUCUUGCGCGAUUUAGAAUUUACAGGAAAUGAAAAUAAACAAAUGAUUAUUUUAGCUUGACGAGUAUGUAAAAUAUGUGCUAAGUUAUAACUCGCCCCAUUAAGCAACAUGAAUAAUUUAGAACUGUCUAAAGCAGGAUAAAAGGUGUUGCAUCAAGCAAGAAAAUAAAUUUUAAAAAAAUGCUUGACGAAAAAUGAGGUUGUGUGUUACAUUAUUUAAGUCGCCGCUGAGACGCGGUGGUGAAACAAAGUAAGAAAGAAUGAAGUUUGAUCUUUGAAAACUGAACAACGAGUGAGUAAACUGAUUUUGUUCGCAAAAUCAAGAAUGAGAUAUUUUAUCUCGUCAGUUUCAACAUGAGCUAAUCGCUCUUUCUAUAACCAACUUCGGUUGGUCUUUAAUGGAGAGUUUGAUCCUGGCUCAGGACGAACGCUGGCGGCGUGCCUAAUACAUGCAAGUCGAGCGGGGUUAUUUAGAAGCUUGCUUCUAAAUAACCCAGCGGCGGACGGGUGAGUAACACGUAGGCAACCUGCCCACAAGACAGGGAUAACUACCGGAAACGGUAGCUAAUACCCGAUACAUCCUUUUCCUGCAUGGGAGAAGGAGGAAAGACGGAGCAAUCUGUCACUUGUGGAUGGGCCUGCGGCGCAUUAGCUAGUUGGUGGGGUAAAGGCCUACCAAGGCGACGAUGCGUAGCCGACCUGAGAGGGUGAUCGGCCACACUGGGACUGAGACACGGCCCAGACUCCUACGGGAGGCAGCAGUAGGGAAUCUUCCGCAAUGGGCGAAAGCCUGACGGAGCAACGUGCCCGUACCGCAAACCGACACAGGUAGGCGAGAAGAGAAUUCUAAGGCGCGCGGAAGAACUCUCGUUAAGGAACUCGGCAAAAUGACCCCGUAACUUCGGGAGAAGGGGUGCCUCGGUAGGGUGAAUAGCCCGAGGGGGCCGCAGUGAAAAGGCCCAAGCGACUGUUUAGCAAAAACACAGGUCUGUGCGAAGCCGCAAGGCGAAGUAUACGGGCUGACGCCUGCCCGGUGCUGGAAGGUUAAGGGGAGUGGUAAGCCUUCGGGCGAAGCUAUGAACCGAAGCCCCAGUAAACGGCGGCCGUAACUAUAACGGUCCUAAGGUAGCGAAAUUCCUUGUCAGGUAAAUUCUGACCCGCACGAAUGGCGUAACGACUUGGGCGCUGUCUCAACGAGAGAUCCGGUGAAAUUUUAAUACCUGUGAAGAUGCAGGUUACCCGCGACAAGACGGAAAGACCCCAUGGAGCUUUACUGCAGCUUGAUAUUGAAUUUGGGUACGAUCUGUACAGGAUAGGUGGGAGCCGUAGAACUUUGAGCGCCAGCUUGAAGGGAGGCAUCCUUGGGAUACCACCCUGAUCGUAUCUAGGUUCUAACUUGGUACCGUGAUCCGGUACGAGGACAGUGUCAGGUGGGCAGUUUGACUGGGGCGGUCGCCUCCUAAAGAGUAACGGAGGCGCCCCAAGGUUCCCUCAGAAUGGUUGGAAAUCAUUCGAAGAGUGCAAAGGCAGAAGGGAGCUUGACUGCGAGACCUACAAGUCGAGCAGGGACGAAAGUCGGGCUUAGUGAUCCGGUGGUACCGCAUGGAAGGGCCAUCGCUCAACGGAUAAAAGCUACCCUGGGGAUAACAGGCUUAUCUCCCCCAAGAGUCCACAUCGACGGGGAGGUUUGGCACCUCGAUGUCGGCUCAUCGCAUCCUGGGGCUGAAGUAGGUCCCAAGGGUUGGGCUGUUCGCCCAUUAAAGCGGUACGCGAGCUGGGUUCAGAACGUCGUGAGACAGUUCGGUCCCUAUCUGUCGUGGGCGUAGGAAAUUUGAGAGGAGCUGUCCUUAGUACGAGAGGACCGGGAUGGACGUACCGCUGGUGUACCAGUUGUUCCGCCAGGAGCACCGCUGGGUAGCUAUGUACGGAAGGGAUAAGCGCUGAAAGCAUCUAAGCGUGAAGCCCCCCUCAAGAUGAGAUUUCCCAGUAUGUAAGACCCCUUGAAGACGACGAGGUAGAUAGGUUGGGGGUGGAAGUGCAGUAAUGCAUGGAGCUGACCAAUACUAAUCGGUCGAGGGCUUAUCCU